ACUUUUACUUUGAAAAAAUUAGAGUGUUCAAAGCAGGCCUUUGCUCGAAUACAUUAGCAUGGAAUAAUAGAAUAGGACGUGUGGUUCUAUUUUGUUGGUUUCUAGGACCGCCGUAAUGAUUAAUAGGGAUAGUCGGGGGCAUCAGUAUUCAAUCGUCAGAGGUGAAAUUCUUGGAUUGAUUGAAGACUAACUACUGCGAAAGCAUUUGCCAAGG
rnacentral:rRNA from 1 species